rnacentral:misc_RNA from 1 species
GUCAGCUGGACGGAAUCAAUUGCAUGUACAGAUGACGUUAAGUAACUAUAUGAAACACCGGCGGCCAUUGUUGUGUAUGAACUAGCAGGAAUCAUGCUAGAGAACUGGUGUGUAUUUGGUAUUACAGGCUGCAUUGAAGACUUAACACUAGAAGGAACAGAACCAGUAACACUGAUACCACCUGAUGCAGGCGGUAGAUCCCACCAAGCAGCUUUUCGUUCUGGAGAGCGGUUAGUUGGGGGAGGAGUUUUAGCAGCAGCCUCUGAUUUCCUCUUUCUUGGUGAAUAACCACCAAGACCACUUGUAGAUCCUUCAUGGCGGUUGGAAUGGCUAUCUGAACCAUUGCUGGAUAUCUUUUUAUCCAGAUCAUAAUGUGAUCUUCCAGAUUUAUCUUUGGAAGAAUGAGAGGAAAACUCACCACGCUCUCUGAGAUCAUGAUCUGAAUGCUUACGUCCUCUCGGUGAACCAGAACGAGACCUUCUACCCCGAUCUCUAUCAUUCUCUCGACUUCUUGACCUUCUUCUCUUUGGUCUUUCUUCCUCUAGAUGAGCCCGAGAAGCUUCCACUCUUCCAGUGAUUUCAGAAACUUUCACUGAACUGUGUUUUUUAUCGGCAUUCUUCUCUCUAUUUCUCUCCUCCUCAUCACUUUUCCUUCUAACUGAUUCAGACUUUUCUUUAGUUCUGUCAGCAUAACUAUCUCUCCGCCCGUGAUUUCUUAAAUGCCUUUUCUCAGCCUCAUUCAGAAGAG